AUUUUUGAAAUGAUUUUUCUCCUGGCACAUUUUUUGAAGUAGAAUUAACUAGCUAUGAAGAACAUGACAUAAUUUUAGAUGGUAGUUAUUUUCAUUUGAGUCUAGAUUUACUGUUUGUUUUUACUGAUAAAGAUAAUUAAUAUUCCAAAUAUUAUGGAAUUUUUAAUCACCUCACAGGUGACUUUUCUAUGAAUCAAACAGUUUAGGCAAUACUAUAUAAUCUUCACAUCAUUUUUCCUCUAAAGUCUAAUUGAUAUAUUUCAAUAUAAUAAUCAUUGCUCUUAGGAAUAGUUGUAAUUAUAUAUAUUUCUUUAAUCCUGUUUAUGUAACUAUAAUUAAAUCUACAAUAGUUUAAUGGCUUCACAGCAAUUAAGUAAACAACUGAUAUCCGUCCCCUCACCCCCAUCGCCUAUUUCCAGUUUUAAUAAAUUGGGACUGGUGUGUCAACUCAUUUCAAAAAAAUUAUUUUUUUUUAUUUUCAAGUUUGUGACUUUACCUGCUAGA